UGCAGGACACAUGAACAUCGACAUUUCGAACGCACAUUGCGGUCCAUGGAUUCCGUUCCCGGACCACGCCUGGCUGAGGGUCGGUAGCUAAAACUGAAAUGCAAAAUUUUUUUCGAUGGUGAGAGCUUCGCUGUAGGUGCGGCUUCGGUCGCCCCGGCGUCUCUUUAAAAAAGUUCCGUAAGGAACUGGACUUGUCACGAAAGAAACGGUGGCGAUGUGUCUCGGCGGUUGGUUUCGGUGGUCCGCGCAGCGUCCUAGUAUGCUGGUGCUGGUUGCCCCGAGCUUCUUGCCGAGCGCGUCGCUCCGUUGUGACAAACGUCUAUAUCAUGCCACGACCUCAGAGCAGGCGAGACUACCCGCUGAAUUUAAGCAUAUCAAUAAGCGGAGAAA
rnacentral:rRNA from 1 species